UUUAAAUUUAGAGUUUGAUCCUGGCUCAGGACGAACGCUGGCGGCGUGCUUAACACAUGCAAGUCGAGCGAUGAAACUUCCUUCGGGGAGUGGAUUAGCGGCGGACGGGUGAGUAACACGUGGGUAACCUGCCUCAAAGUGGGGGAUAGCCUUCCGAAAGGAAGAUUAAUACCGCAUAACAUAAGAGAAUCGCAUGAUUUUUUUAUCAAAGAUUUAUUGCUUUGAGAUGGACCCGCGGCGCAUUAGCUAGUUGGUAAGGUAACGGCUUACCAAGGCAACGAUGCGUAGCCGACCUGAGAGGGUGAUC
rnacentral:rRNA from 1 species